UACGUAGGGUGCAAGCGUUAAUCGGAAUUGCUGGGCGUAAAGCGUGCGCAGGCGGUUUUGUAAGUUCUGUCGUGAAAUCCCCCGGGCUCAACCUGGGAAUUGCGAUGGAGACUGCAAGGCUAGAAUCUGGCAGAGGGGGGUAGAAUUCCACGUGUAGCAGUGAAAUGCGUAGAGAUGUGGAGGAACACCGAUGGCGAAGGCAGCCCCCUGGGUCAAGAUUGACGCUCAUGCACGAAAGGCGUGGGGAGCAAACAGG
rnacentral:rRNA from 1 species